rnacentral:tRNA from 3 species
GAGACCUUGGCUCAAUUGGUAGAGCAUAUGUCUUUUAAUCAUUAGGUUACAGGUUCGAAUCCUGUAGGUCUUA